AUUACGUAGCUCAGUCGGUAGAGCGCCAGUCUUGUUCUCCGUUCGGGGUUUUGACUGGGUCAGUCGUCGGUUCGAGGCCGGCCGUAUCCA